UCCAGUUUUCUUCCUCUCGCCGACAUAACUUUCCGGCGUCGCUACCGCCUCGUCCGGCCACCUAUGGCCAUGAAAUUGGUGUCCAUCUCUUCGUCUUGAAACAAGGUUUCUAUCUAUAUAUGUCUUGCACCCUAUCAUUCACCAUAGACAACGAAUCGAAGCCAACAAGUUCACUGUAGCAGCUCGGGUUUUCUGGAAAAUUUUCCAGAUUCCAGCCAUCUUCGGCGGCAUUUUGAGCUUGAUCGAUGCUCCUCAAGACGUGGAUGAUAUCCCUCCAAGUUUUUUUUCCACAAAUCGAAGUGAAAUUGACGAAUCGAAGGUUUGAAUUUCUGGGUACUAUUUGGAAAUCGGGUUUUACUGUUUGAGCUUAGUUUCGGGUAUUUUCAUGUGUUUUCUAACUUUGUGGUAGUUGAGAAAGAUGUUUGGAUGGUUGAGACGAAGUUGCUGCCAAAAUUUGGUGGCUGAAGGCGGAGGUUGCCGCUGUGUGAACAGUGCGGUGAACAGUUAUUGCGGGCGACGUGCCGAGCUACUGCUCGACGUAGGAAACCGGUAGCGUGGUCUCCUAAAUAGUACUUUUGCAGGCCAGUUUAGCUUGAGGUCGAGCGUACUUGGGGUGGAGGCAUAGCUGUCAUA